GCGUAGGUGGUGUUUCUAGGCAAAUCCGGAGACACAACACUGAGACACGAGACGAACACACUACGGUGCGGAAGCCAUUGAUGCCCUGCUUCCAGGAAAAGCCUCUAAGCUUCAGAUUACAAGUCAUCGUACCCCAAACCGACACAGGUGGUCGGGUAGAGAAUACCAAGGCGCUUGAGAGAACUCGGGUGAAGGAACUAGGCAAAAUAGAACCGUAACUUCGGGAGAAGGUUCGCUCCUGACAGUGAAGUCCCUUGCGGAUGGAGCAGUUGGGAGUCGCAGUGACCAGAUGGCUGGGACUGUUUAUCAAAAACACAGCACUCUGCAAACACGAAAGUGGACGUAUAGGGUGUGACACCUGCCCGGUGCCGGAAGGUUAAUUGAUGGGGUUAGCGCAAGCGAAGCUCUUGAUCGAAGCCCC
rnacentral:rRNA from 1 species